AAAAUUGAUAAAAUGCAUUCUGACUGCAGUUAGGAAUUCCCUCAUCUGUCAGAAUGUACUGAAGUUUACUGUAGUGCUGAGUGAAAUCUGAGACGUGACAUCCGUGUUGGAAUUUCUGCUGUAUGAAGAAUUUACCCUUAGCCCAUGGUCUUUGCCAGACCAUCACAGCCCUGAGGAGAAAUGAAAACCUGAUCCCCCUUUCUUCAUGGAGCUCUGGACACAUUUGAAGAGAAAAUGUCAUUUUGUGCCUGCUGGAGGUGUGAUGGGAUCAGAGACAUCAAUGCUAAACUGCAGUGCUCUCUGCUCAACCCAUCGAGAGAGAGGAAAGAAUUUUCCUCUUAGGUGUCAUCCCCAACGUUUACAGUGUGUCCAAAGAGAACGGACUCCAUUCUGUUGGAGAUCCCAUCUCGGGCAGUCUGACAGCGAUUAUGGAGCAGCAGCAUUAUUGCUGUGGGGAGUGCUGAUGAUCUUGGUUUUACUCAUUUCCCCGUGGGAGGACUUGCCUGCUUCUGAGUGCAGCCUUAAUUACAAAGGUGAGUGUUAAAAAUUAACUGUCAGCAGGUAAAGCAGUGGAAAAGU
rnacentral:lncRNA from 1 species